CUACGACAUCUGGGGCAAUACAGUCAAUGUAGCCAGCAGGAUGGAGUCCACGGGGGUCAUGGGCAACAUUCAGUGGCGUCUGGCAGAAAAGCUCCACGAAAGGGGCAAAGGGACAGAAGAGCAGGCAGUGGCAGUUUCCAGGUGGUAGAAGAAACCCAAGUCAUCCUCCGAGAGUACGGCUUCCGCUUUGUGAGGCGAGGCCCCAUCUUUGUGAAGGGGAAGGGGGAGCUGCUGACCUUCUUCUUGAAGGGGCGGGAUAAGCUAGCCACCUUCCCCAAUGGCCCCUCUGUCACACUGCCCCACCAGGUGGUGGACAACUCCUGAAUGGCCUCGAGCCUGCAACAGUCCAAACCGGAAGGGAGAAUUUAUUUUUUGAAACUGAAGGAAGUCCCGACCUUCCUGGAUUGAAGUGCACACUCAUGGACUUUAGGUUUAGAAACCUCCUCAGCCUUCAUUUGUUCGUGGAUGUGUGAGCUCUGAGGGUGGCCCUGCUAUUCCUGUGUGUGCCUGUAGUGUCCCCAGCAUAGGGGUCUUAGGCAUAGGGCUGAACAGUCCUUCCAGAGCCCUCGUUCCAAUCCCUGCCGUCCUUGCCCCUGAGGGGCCCUGACCACUGUGAGCAGGAGGGUGGCAGAGCUGGGACAAAGCUGCCUUUGCCGCUGGGCUUUCCGGGACUGUGGAGGGAGCACAGGCGGGGAAGCUCCACUUCAGACAGGGCUUGGUGGGGCAGGACAUGGCUCCCAUUUUGAAGGGAGGUCUCCAUGUGGUCCGAGUGAGGUGAGACGGCCCUCGUCCUGGUGUUCCUGAUCAUCUUGAAAGGUUCUUCUGGAACUCCUGUCCCCUUAGUCAUGAGAACAGAAAGUGCAAUAUUUCCUUUCACCUGGCAGGGG
rnacentral:lncRNA from 1 species